UAGGGAAUCUUCCGCAAUGGACGCAAGUCUGACGGAGCAACGCCGCGUGAGUGAAGAAGGAUUUCGGUUCGUAAAACUCUGUUGUUAGAGAAGAACAGCGCAUAGAGUAACUGUUAUGCGUGUGACGGUAUCUAACCAGAAAGCCACGGCUAACUACGUGCCAGCAGCCGCGGUAAUACGUAGGUCCCGAGCGUUGUCCGGAUUUAUUGGGCGUAAAGCGAGCGCAGGCGGUCAAUUAAGUCUGAUGUGAAAGCCCCCGGCUCAACCGGGGAGGGUCAUUGGAAACUGGUUGACUUGAGUGCAGAAGAGGAGAGUGGAAUUACAUGUGUAGCGGUGAAAUGCGUAGAUAUAUGGAGGAACACCAGUGGCGAAGGCGACUCUCUGGUCUGUAACUGACGCGGAGGCUCGAAAGCGUGGGUAGCAAACAGG
rnacentral:rRNA from 1 species